CUUUAGAACAGGUGCCCAUAAUUGCACAGCAUAUUCAAGAUGUGGUCUUACCGGUGAUUUAUAAAGAGGCAAAAUUAUAUUUUCAGCCCGUGACUGUAUGCCCCCAUUUAUACGCGACAAAACCUUACACCUUAGCAACUGCAAAUUGACAUUGCAUAUUGCUGCCUAAUUUAUUGUCUAUGACAAUUCCCAUAUCCUUCUCAUGUGUUGUUAUCCUUACUUCACUACCAUUUAGGGUGUAAGCUGCUUGUGCAUUCUUUACUCCGAAGUGCAUAACUUUGCUUUUCUCUACAUUAAAUUUCAUCUGACAUUUUAGUACCCGGUCCCCCAAUCUAUCUAAAUCUCUCUGCAGCAAAACAAUAUCCUG